rnacentral:lncRNA from 1 species
AAAGAGAAAGUAGUUAGAGCAACGCGUCAUGAGAGACGGGUCGCUUUGUUUAUUCUGCAUGCAAUCUUGUCAGAAGAAAAUAAAGAAAGGAAUUUAUGGCUGCCUGCCGGGAGUGUUUUUCUGCUAAGUGCAGCAACGCAUGCAGCUGGCUAACUGACAGUUUGCUCUAACUCAAAACACCCAGCUAACGAGCACUCGAGAGGAGAGUGUCGGCAAGGAGAAAGCAGGAUGGAAGCUCGCCUUGCACAGCUGGAAAAAGAGAGGAAUGAUUUAUUGGCUACAUCACAGGAAUUAAGGAUUCGUUUGGAAGAAGCCAGGGCCAGAUCUGAAGGAGCUUCUGGAGGGGGCUUACUGAACUGGUCUUUGACGCUGGUAAGCAAAUUCAAUGGGGACCCCAGAUUAUACACGGGCUUCAAACUUGACAUGCAGUAUGCCCUGGAACUACAAGGAGCUGCUUUUGCUGGAGAUGCUGACAAGGUGGGGUUCCUUAUAGGCCAUUUGACGGGGGCAGAGCGAGAUUGGGUACGCCCACUGCUUGCUAGCCACAAUGCUGAGCUCAGCGAUCUCAAACAAUUCUGGGAAGCCAUGGACAUUAUGUUUUCAUUUGGAUCUGAGGAGGAUGUGACUCAGCAGCAGCUGUUGGAUCUCCGGCAGGGGAACUCAACUGUGAGGGAGUACUGGUCCCAAUUUGCGAUGCUGGUCCACAAGCUUGAUUGGAGCUUAGACUCUCAACCUGUGCAAGCUCUGUUUAAGGCCGGACUGAAUUCUCAGGUGAACGAUGAGCUUGCCAGGGGCCCCGACACCAGGACUUGAAUUCCCUCGUUAAGGCUGCUCUGGCAGUGGGCAGCAGGCAGGAACUGAGGCAGCUAGAUUAGGCUGAGAGGAAAGGCCGGCGUUCCCAUGGUGAUCGCAUUCCUGGCAUACCAAGUGAGGGAGAGCAAGGUCACUCUCGCUCAGAGCCGAUGGAAAUUGACUCUGCCCGCACACGGGAAGAUUCAAAGGCUCAACGGCCAACUCACAAGGCAGCAGAAAACGGGCAGGCUGCCAAGAAAUGCUUUAUCUGCCAGAAACCAGGGCACUUUGCCAGAGUGUGUCCUGAACGUCGCAACUGGCAGGGAAUGGUGGGGCUUCCUCCCAGAUGGGAGAGGGGAGUCCAAAAGCAGGGAAACGCCAGUGCCUGGCUGGGAAUGGGGCGGGGCAGCAGCCAGGCAGGAAGGAAACUGAACCAGAGCCCCGACCAGGACGUCCCCAACCAGGCAUAAUUGUGAGGGUGUUGCUGGAUCUCCCCAAUGGAUUGGCUAUGGAGGUCCAUGCCCUGUUGGACUCAGGAGCGAGUGCCAAUUUCUUCAGCAGGGACUUCGCUGCGCAGCACCAAUUGCAUUUACUACCUUUGGACUUUCCGUUACAAGUGACCACCAUUGAUGGGAGGAACUUUUGGGAGGGAAGUGACCCAUCAAACCCCCCAUGAGAAUGAGGAUUUCAACGCAUUCCAAAACGAUUGCUUUCCAUGUGGCCACGCUGGCGGGCCCACCCAUCAUUUUGGGCAUGAGUUGGUUGGCCAUGCACGAUCCGGUGGUCUCCUGGCAUCAGCGUAACCUGACGUUUGGAUCGGCGUAUUGCUUGGAGAACUGUUUGGGGGUAAAGGAUCCGCAAGUUGGUAGUGCCAGAGUGGCAGCUACGUGUGCAGGAGAGAAGGGCGGCAUUCCUCCAGAAUAUAUGGACUUGGCAGAGGUUUUCAGCGAAAGAGAGGCAGACACGCUGCCGCCGCACAGGCCUUACAAUUGUCAGAUCAACUUGAUCCCGGGGGCCAAGUUACCGGCAGGAAAACUGUACUCUAUGUCCAAUCAGGAGAUGGAGGACUUAAGAGCAUUUAUAGACAAGAACUUAAGGAGAGGUUUCAUUAGGGAGUCUAGGGCAGUAGGCGGAAGCCCCGUGUUCUUUGUGGACAAAAAGGCAACGUGAGAGAAACGUCUCAUCGUAGAUGUCAGGGGUUCAGGAGCAGAGGCAAGGGCAAGGGAGGAAACAGAGAGCGAGGGGGAGGAGGCAGAAGAAAAGAUGAGUGAUGACGACGACCCGAGAUCUCCGAGUCUUUCCAGUGAAUCAGAAGAUUCACAGAAAGGAGCACCAGUGGCCAGGGCAAGGGGGAGCCUAGGGGACGCCCCAGGAAGAUAGAGCCAGAGGGGACUCAGAGGGGAGCAGUUGGAAAUCGGGACCAGCGUCACCGCCAGAGAGCAGGGAAGAGGAAGGGAGCCAGGGAUCAAGCGCUGGCAGCUCACAACAGGGGGGAGGGCACGAGUCAGGGUGGCCACACCUCCAUCGGGGAGCGAAGAAACGGUCAGACGGAAGGUGGAAGGUUGGGCGCGCGCGCCAAGUUCAAAUGCACAGGAAGGUGGCACAGUAGGCAGCCCGGAAGGGAGCCAGGUCCUAAAGCCCGCCGAAAGGAGGGAGAAGAGUCAGGGGGGUCAGCGUCAGCGUCAGAGGAAUCCCGGAAAGAAGAGACCCCAGGGGGCAGAGGGACCCAGAGAAGAACAGUCAGGCGGAAAAGGUGGAGCAGGGCUAGGAUAUUAAGUUGGUGUACAAGGGCGGAGACUCAGACGGAGCUUCGCCGGUCUAACCAUGAGACGUAGAGUUGCACGCAGCAGUUUGAGAAUGGAAACUGUAACUCAAUAAAGACUUUUGUUUAAUGAUCGCUGGCUAGCGUGAUCCUCUGUGAGCUAGGAUCUGGAAGCAGCUCUGACAGUAAGCUCCGUCUCAAUAAAUUGUGGGCAUCUACAGCCUCGCGGAGAGGAGAGAAAGCGGGUGCCUACUAGCGAGCUCACGAAAGGCAGACAAUAUGACGGCCGAACAGCAGAUAGCGGAACUCAGAGAAGCAGUGUCACGACUGAAUGCCGAGGCUCUUGCAUCCAGGAAGAGAGAGGAGGACGCAGCUGCCGCCUACAGGGAUCUCCAGGUCAGGUUGGAAGUGCUUACGAAGCAAGGGCAACUGACACCCAAACCGGAGGGAUUGGGUUGGGGAGACGAACAGGCGGUCUGGUCUCUCACUUCGAUGGGAAUUUGCAACAGUACCCCAACUUUAGAGCAGAUGUAAUGUGUGCACUGCAACUGCUGGACAAAGACUUUAGAGAUGAGCAAGAGAAGGUGGGAUUCAUCAUGUCCCAUUUGCAUGGAGAUGCUAAAGCAUGGCUGCGCAAUUUGUGGAGAGAUAAGGAUCCGGCGCUCCAAAAUGCGGAUGCCUUUAUUAAAGCGAUGGAUGGGUGCUUUUUAUCAAGCAUUGACGUGGAUCUUGCUCGGCAGCAGAUACAUGGACUGAAGCAAGGGAGGGCCAGCGUAAGGCAGUACCAUGCCCGCUUUUUCGCUUUGGUCAGUGCUCUGGAAUGGGACAGAGAUUCGGCUCCUGUAAGAGACCUGUUUUGGGAGGGAUUGCACGGCUCGGUUAAAGAUGAAAUUGCGAGGGGAGAGACCCCGGACCACGCAGGAGAUCGUUCAGAGGGCGCUGGCGGUGGGGGUGCGGCUGGAAGAACGUCCGUGGAGCAGGGACGAAGGGCGUGGAGGGCGCGAACCAGCCAGGGGCUCCUCCUUCCUUCCCAGAGAAGCAGCGCGUGCGCAAUCCACGCCUCCGCCAGGAGGAGGAGCGGAACCUAUGGAGGUUGGAGGUGCAAGGGCUCAGUCAGCAGCCAGAGCCCUAGCACCGGCAGCAGUGAGCGAAGCCUCCUAGAGGGAACAGGAAGUGUUACAUCUGCGAUGCUCCACAGCAUAUGGCGAAAGAGUGUCCCCAGAGGCUCCACAAGCACACUGCAGCUUCAGCAAUGGUAACUGCAGCAACGCAGCAAGGAGAACCACAGCAGGGAAACGACGGAGUCUGGUUGGAGGAAGAGGCACUGGGGCCCAGCCAGACGUGUCAGUGAAGCAGUCCCCAGAGAUUUUACAGCCCAUGGACCCCCUCCCGCCCAAACCAGUAGUGAGGCUCACCGCGUCGCUCCAGCUGCCCAAUGGAAUCACCAUGGACGUGCCAAUCACCAUUGACUCCGGAAGCAAUGCGGACUUUAUAGGGCAGGACUUUGUCGACCGGCACGCUAUACAGUUGCUGCCUGCCACGCUGCCCCUGCAGGUUGUCACGGUGGAUGGCAGGGAGCUGCUAGGGGGGCAAGUGGUGAAGCAGACGCCACCAAUGGUGAUGCGGCUUGGGAAUCACAGGGAAAUCAUCAGCUUCAAUGUCACUCAACUAUCGGACACGCCCAUUGUAUUGGGCAUGAGUUGGCUGGACAAGCACAGCCCGACGCUGGCUUGGUACCAGAGGCAGCUGACCUUCGGCUCUUCCUUUUGCGCUGAACACUGCAUCGUGCCCCGGCAGGAAGGAGAGGAAGAGGAGUCACAGCUGCAGCUAGGCACGCUGCAAGCGGUUCCCCACAAGUACGCAGAAUUUUUGGAGGUUUUCUGCGAGAAGGAGGCAGACAGGCUACACCCCCCACAGACCAUAUGACUGCAAAAUUGACCUGCUGCCGGGGGCGGCGCUGCCCAAAGGGAAGCUGUAUUCCAUGUCUGAGGACGAACUGCAGGAACUCAAAGAGUUCAUAGAUCAUAAUUUGGAGCGCGGUUUCAUCCGAGAGUCCAAGGCAGCAGGGGGCAGUCCGGUAUUCUUUGUUAAGAAGCGGGACACGCCCCAGAAAAGACUUGUAGUGGACUAUCGCAUUUUGAACAGCGUGACCAAGCCAUCGGACUUCCCCAUGCCCCGAAUCGACGACCUCCUCGCAAAGGUACGGAAGGGCAGCGUGUUCACUAAGUUGGACCUGCGAGUGCACAACAACCUCAUACGCAUGCGGGAAGGAGAUGAGUGGAAGACAGCCAUGUUCACGCCCCUGGGCACCUACGAAUAUAGAGUUAUGCCUUUUGGAUUGCAAAAUGGUUCCCACUUUUUCAAGCGUUCAUGCAUCACGUGUUGGCGGGGCUCCUCUACAAGACGUGCGUCUGUUUCUUGGAUGACAUCCUGAUCUUUUCGGAAUCGCAGCAGGAGCAUGACAGACACGUCAAGGAAGUGCUGAGCAGGCUACAGCAACAUAGGCUUUACGCCAAGCUGGAGAAGUGCCAAUUCGACGUGACGGAGGUGGAUUUCCUGGGCUACAAGUUGUCUGAUAAAGGGCUCGCCAUGGACAGCGCCAAGGUCCGAGCAGUGUUGGAUUGGAAAAGCCCACGCAACCGGAAGGAGGUCCAACGGUUUGUCGGCUUUGCGAACUUCUAUCGCAAGUUUAUCAAAGGCUUUGCCAUGCAGACAGCGGCCAUCACGGACACGCUCAGCUCCAAGAAAAGAAGUUCAUCUGGACAGAGCAGGCGGAGCAGUCCUUUCCAGGCACUCAAGCGUCUCUUCGCGUCGGAAGGGCAACUGCUUCAUGUCAACCCCAGCAAGCCGAUGAGGGUGGAGACAGACGCUUCGGACAGAGCCGUGGGAGCAGUCCUGCUGCAGAAGGACCCGCAGGGGUUUGGAGGCCGGGAGCGUUUUACUCAAGGAAGCUCAGCAAGUCCGAACAGAACUACACCAUCUGGGACAGGGAGUUGCUGGCCAUUCAUGCAGCGUUCAAAGCGUGGAGGCACUUCCUGAUCGGCGCCAAGCACACGGUGCAGGUCUGCACGGACCACAAGAAUCUAGAGCACUGGCGCACGGCACAGUUCCUGAACCAGAGGCAGAUACGUUGGGCUGAGUUCUUUGCGAAUUUCGACUUCCGAAUAGAGUAUGUCCCGGGGGACACCAACAUCAUGGCGGAUGCUCUCUCCCGUAAGCCGCAGUAUCUGGAGGAGGCAACGCCAGCGGCCGCCAUGCACAUCUUCGCACCGACAGUGUGGGCGUGCACGGCGGCAACAGUUGACCUGGAGGCGGUGCGACGAGCGUUGCAGGAUGACUCCUUCGCGCAAGCAAAGAUGGCAGAGGCGCACAGGGGCACGGCAGCGACCGACGAGUUCCAGCUGCGAGAUGGUUUGCUCAUCCGUAAAGGGGCCAUCUACGUGCCGGGAGACGAACUUCGCGCCAAGGUACUGCAGCAGCUGCACGACGCGCCCACUGCCGGGCACUUUGGCAAGGAGAAGACGGUGGAAUUAGUAGCCAGAGACUUCUGGUGGCCAGGAAUGAGAGGGAAGUCGCGGACUACGUGGCGAGGUGUGACACCUGCCAGAGGGCCAAACCAGUGCACAGACCGCCGGCCGGAUUGCUGGAACCGCUGCAAACUCCGUUCGAACCAUGGGAGAGAGUGGCCCUGGACUUUGUCACGGAUCUGCCCAGCUCGAGGGGCAAGACGGCUGUGCUGGUGGUGGUGGACUUGUUCUCCAAGAUGGCACAUUUCAUUCCGUGUGCGAAGGUGGCCACGGCGGAACAAACCGCCAAACUGUUCAUAGACCACGUGUUCAAGGUUCACGGUCUGCCGCGGUCUAUUCUGUCCGACCGGGGCGACAGUUCAUCUCGAACUUCUGGCAGAGGCUGAUGGGCUUCCUGAACGUCAAGAUCAACCUGGCGUCGGCUAGACACCCGCAGACCAAUGGGCAAGCGGAGCGGAGUCAAUGCCAUCAUGCAGCAGUACCUGAGAUGUUAUGCGAAUCAACAGCCUGCGACGUGGGUGGAUUACCUGCCUCUCGCCGAGUUCGCCUACAACAACACGAAGCACGUGUCCACGGGGGUCACGCCGUUCUUCGCCAACAACGGGAGGCACCCCAGAACCUUCCCGGGACUGGAAAGAAUGGGGGAGGGAGCCGCAGACAGCAGAUGCAUUCGCGUCGGAGUUGCAGGAGGUCCACGAUCAGCUGCGGCGGCACCUGGAGCUGGCUAAACACGCAUACAAGGUACAAGCGGACAAACACAGAAGGGUUGGCGAAGAGAUCCAUGUGGGAGACUGGGUCUGGUUAGCAGCCCACGCAGUUCGGCCAGGUCGUUGGCGAAGAAGAAACUAGGGCAUAAACAACUGGGGCCCUACCAAGUCGAAGAACAGGUCAACCCGGUGGCUUUCAGGCUGGCUCUUCCGGAGGGUUCCAGGAUGCAUCCGGUGUUCCACAGAUCGGUGCUCACUCCAUACAAGGCACCUCACAGGUUUCAGGAACCAGGAACGGCACCGGGUCCGCUCCGAGAGAGAACCGGGUGGGGGAGUGGCACGGGAGGAGCGCAUCAACGAAGCCACGGAGAUUUUGGACUCCAGAUGGGGGAAGAGGGGGUAGAAUACCUUCUCGCCAAGGAGGGCACCCCGGCCAGUGCCAACAGCUGGGUGCCGGGCUACGCUUUAGACGAACCUCUGCUCAAAGAAGAGUUUCAUGCCCUCUUCCCACAUAGGCCAAUGCCAGCAGACUUUUUCGACGACUGGCUUUUCACGCCCACGCUUUCAGCCAGCACGUUCCGGGGUUCGACUCGGACGAGGAACCGACACGAGACGCCCGUUCCCCGGAGGAGUCACCCUCGGGAUCUGCUUCAGAACCCUCGUAUUGGUGGGAUGAUCGACCAGAGGAGCAGUUCCGCAGAAGGUGGCUGGAGGGUCCAGGACGAGCAACGUCUCCAGAAGGUAACGAGGGAGAGACGGACAUGGACGUUUUCGGGGACGACCCGGGUUUCGAGCACGGCGGCACAGAGAUGGAAGCGGAGGUGACCGUCGUCAACGAGAGCAGGGAGGAAGAACCGGAAGACUUCAGAUGGCGGCCCGCCACGGGAAGCGAACUGUAUCCGACAUUCGUCCCCUGACACGGCAGCACCCAGAUCCCGCACCGGAAGGAGGGAGGGGGAAGAGGGGGCUUCGAGGGGGAUGGAUGUCAGGGGUUCAGGAGCAGAGGCAAGGGCAAGGGAGGAAACAGAGAGCGAGGGGAGGAGGCAGAAGAAAAGAUGAGUGAUGACGACGACCCGAGAUCUCGAGUCUUUCCAGUGAAUCAGAAGAUUCACAGAAAGGAGCACCAGUGGCCAGGGCAAGGGGAGCCUAGGGGACGCCCCAGGAAGAUAGAGCCAGAGGGGACUCAGAGGGAGCAGUUGGAAAUCGGGACCAGCGUCACCGCCAGAGAGCAGGGAAGAGGAAGGGAGCCAGGGAUCAAGCGCUGGCAGCUCACAACAGGGGAGAGGGCCCGAGUCAGGAGUGGCCACACCUCCAUCGGGGAGCGAAGAAACGGUCAGACGGAAGGGGGACGGUUGGGCGCGCGCGCCAAGUUCAAAUGCACAGGAAGGUGGCACAGUAGGCAGCCCGGAAAGGGAGCCAGGUCCUAAAGCCCGCCGAAAGGAGGGAGAAGAGUCAGGGGGGGUCAGCGUCAGCGUCAGAGGAAUCCCGGAAAGAAGAGACCCCAGGGGGCAGAGGGACCCAGAGAAGAACAGUCAGGCGGAAAAGGUGGAGCAGGGCUAGGAUAUUUAGUUGGUGUACAAAGGGCGGAGACUCAGACGGAGCUUCGCCGGUCUAACCAUGAGACGUAGAGUUGCACGCAGCAGUUUGAGAAUGGAAACUGUAACUCAAUAAAGACUUUUGUUUAAUGAUCGCUGGCUAGCGUGAUCCUCUGUGAGCUAGGAUCUGGAAGCAGCUCUGACAGUAGACUUUAGGCGAAUCAACGCCCAGACCCUCCCCAUGGCCUUCCCAAUGCCAAGAAUUGAUGGCGUAUUGGCGAGGGUGCGAAAGGGGAAAAUUUUCACCAAACUGGAUUUGAGAGGAGCCUACAAUCUCAUCAGGGUGCGAGAGGGGGACGAGUGGAAGACAACCAUGUUCACACCACUAGGGGCAUUUGAAUAUCUUGUUAUGCCCUUCGGUUUACAGUGUGGUAGUCCGUGCUUCCAAGCCUUCAUGCACCACGUGUUGGGACCUUUGUUCUACAAAAACUGUGCUGCAUUUUUGGAUGACAUACUUAUUUAUUCUCCAGACGAAGAACAGCACGUGAAGGACAUGCGAGAAGUUCUAGCUCAGCUCAAGGAGCAUCGCCUAUGGGUGAAACUGGAGAAGUGUCAGUUUCACACAAGAGAGGUCGAGUUCCUGGGCUAUAGGCUGUCGGACAGGGGUCUGGCAAUGGACCCGGAGAAGGUCAAAGCGGUGGUGGAGUGGAAAAGCCCCAAAACGAGGAAGGAUGUUCAGCGGUUCCUGGGCUUCAGUAACUUCUACCGGAAAUUCAUCAAGGACUUCGCACGGCUGGCGACCCCCAUAACGGAUUGCCUCAGUGGCAAGAAGAAGUUUGAGUGGACAGAUGAGGCGCAGAGGGCCUUUGAGAGUCUAAAGAGAGUCUUUGCCUCCGAGGAACAACUGCUGCAUGUCAACCCUGAACUACCACUACGGGUGGAGACAGAUGCGUCUGAUCGAGCGAUUGGAGCAGUUCUCAUGCAGCAAGAUGGGGAGGGGGAAUGGCAUCCGUGUGCCUUUUUUCCCCGGAAGCUCAAUAAAUCGGAAGUGAACUAUAGUAUCUAUGAUAAGGAAUUGCUUGCUAUUGUGUCUGCAUUCAAGCAAUGGCGACAUUUUUUUGAUUGGAGCGAAGCAUCAGAUACAGGUGUGCACGGAUCACAAGAAUUUGGAGUACUGGCGGAUUGCAAGAGUGAUGUGCCAGAGGCAAAUACGCUGGGCACAGUUCUUUGCCAACUUCAACUUCAGGAUUCAGUACGUACCGGGUGAGCAGAAUGUGAGGGCGGACGCUUUAUCCCGUAAACCCGAGUAUUUGGCAGAGGAAGGACCGCUGACAACCCGGUUCAUGUUCCCCGAGCAGAGGUGGGCUUGCGGGGCAACAUUGGUGAAGGACAACGAACUGCUACGCUUGAUGCGGGACGAUGCUUUUGCCAGAGGAAAGUUGGAUGAACUUGGGCAAGAGAGAGGGGCUGAGGGAGGUUUCGAGGGAAAAAGGGGGCUACUGUUUUAUCGAGGGGCUUUGUAUGUGCCAGGGAAGCUCUCCGGGCCCGAAUCCUCCGACAACUGCAUGACAGCUCGACGGCAGGACACUUUGGGCAACAUAAGACCAUGUUGUUGGUCACCAGGGAAUUUUGGUGGCCUAAGGUGUGGGAAGAUGUGAAGGAAUAUGUGCGAGGGUGUGAGACCUGUCAGAGAGCCAAAGGGGAGAGGGCAGCUCCAGCAGGGUUAUUAGAGCCUUUGCCAACACCAGGGAGGCCAUGGGAGGUGGUAUCAGUAGACUUCAUCACUGACCUGCCCCGGUCCAGGGGGGAAACGGCGGUGUUGGUGGAUCUAUUCACCAAAAUGUGCCAUUUUGUGGCAUGUUCUCAUGCGGUAACUGCGGAGGAGACAGCCAAAUUGUUUGUGGAGCACAUGUUUAAGUUGCAUGGGGUCCCUUCGAGGGUCAUUUUGGAUAGGGGGACACAAUUUACCUCAAGGUUCUGGUGCAAACUCAUGAGUUUGUUGCAAGUUGAGGUAAGUUUCACCACUGCCAGACAUCCCGAAAGCAAUGGGCAGGCGGAAAGGGUCAAUGCAGUAUUACAGCAGUACCUGCAUUGUUAUGUGGGGGAGAGGCAGAACGAUUGGGUGGACAAAUUAGCGCUGGUGGAGUUUGCAUACAACAACUCCGAGAAUGUGUCCACAGGGAUGACUCCGUUUUUUGCUAAUCACGGGUGCCAUCCUAGGGCUGUCCCGGGGAGGGGAGGAAUCGUGGAGUGUGCCAGCCGCUGAACAGGAGGAAAUGGAAGCAAUUCAACAACAACUGAAGUUGAACUUGGAAAGGGCCAAGGAGGUAUACAAGAGGCAAGCAGACAAGCAUCGGAGGGAAGGGGAAACCCUCUGGGUGGGGGAUAAGGUGUGGUUAUCAACGCAAGGCUUGCCUUGGAAAGGGGGUUGUAAGAAACUCAAACCCAGGAGGGUGGGCCCCUUUGAAAUCAUACAGCAAGUCAACCCGGUGGCCUUUAGGUUGAGGCUGCCAGAGAGCAUGAAAAUUCAUCCAGUGUUCCACCGGUCGCUAUUGUCGGCUUACCAGCCGGGCAGAAGGGAAGGGGAGGUGCCACCGCCAGAAGUCGAGGAAAGGGAGCGGGGACACCAGAUAGAGGAAAUAUUGGACUCGCGUUGGAAGGGUAAUCAGCUGGAGUAUCUUGUAGCUUGGGAGGGGGCUCCCAGCUUGGAUAACACAUGGGUGCCGUCAGAUUGGGUCACGGAGGAGGGUUUAGUGGAGGACUUCCACGAGCUAUUUCCACAUAAGCCACAACCAGCAGGGAGGUUCACUGAGAGGGCGUUUGGGCCGACGGACGAUGAAGAGGAUUUUGAAGGGUUCUCUGCCUCGGACCAAGAGGAAACACAGGGGGGAGGAGGAGUGAGUGAAGAGCGUCCGGGUCCAUCAGGUGUUAGAGGUUGGGGUAACGUUUUUGAUGAUACCGAAGAAGAGGAGGAGGAGGAGGAGGAGGAGGAGAUUUUCCUAGGAUUUACCCCCACGAAGCAUAAGGAGAAUGCAUCGGGGGAGGCUUCUCCUCAGGAAAGGGAGGUGAGGGGGGCCCUUGAGGAGGGGGUGGAUGUCAGGGAACCGCAGGCAGCGAGGGAGGAAAGAAUUAGAGGAUACAGGGAACGAUCUCCACUGCUCAGUACUGAGUCCUCCUCAGAAGACAGAGAAGAGGAUAGUGAGUCUGGGGAGGAAGGGGUGCUUCAGAGAGAAGGGGAUCCACGUCACAGGGGAAACAGAAGGGGCUGAGCCGUUGGCUCUGUUGGUCUCGAGGGAGAGGGAAAGAGAAAGUAGUUAGAGCAACGCGUCAUGAGAGACGGGUCGCUUUGUUUAUUCUGCAUGUAAUCUUGUCAGAAGAAAAUAAAGAAAGGAAUUUAUGGCUGGCUGCCGAGAGUGUUUUUCUGCUAAGUGCAGGAACGCAUGCAGCUGGCUAGCUGACAGCUAGUGAGCUUUGGAGGGAGUGUUGGGAGGAGGUUUUGGAGUAGGUUGGGAUUUAGGUUGGGAGGAUAGGUAGGAAGAGAGGGAGUAAGAGUUGGUUCUGGGUAGAAACAUUGACUCUGAGGAAAAGAUCACAAACUAAAGAAAGGAGUUUCUGAGCUUAGUGUGAAGGAGAGUGUGUGGUGUCCUAUAAGAGUAAUUAGGCCAGGAAUUAACUGGGAGGCUGAAGCUGAGACAAGAGAAGUAGAAACUGUAAAGAGACAGUCUACUUAGGUCUCAUUCCAGUCAGGAGGGGAGAGAUUCUUCUAGUAAGAGAAGACUCCCAAACCAGUGAAACCUUGGGUCUAUUACUUGGAGUACCUCAGGAGUAGGGUUGUCUAAGGGGUGUGUAACUGACAGAAAGUACCAAAGAACGAAACUAUUAAGUGUGAAACAACUGAGAAAACCUUGAAGUGAAAUAACAUUGUAAACUGAAAUAUCCUAAGUUUUAUCCACUCGUGUCACAAAGUUCCCUGUUAAAUAAAAUUGUUAUUGUUUAUUUGAUCAAAUCCUGCCUGAGACUCCAAAUUAUUGAGUUUUCCCUCACAUAAUUCCCCCGCAAGAUAAUCUGAGGUAGUUUGUGGGAAUUCAUGGAAGUGGUGUUCUGUAAGAUGGGUGCACUAUAUUCAAGUGAAGGGCGGGCCCAACUGUGUGCCAUUGUGCCGUCGGACACACUCCUUCCUCUGCCCAUGCUUGUCUUGUGCUUUCUGGACAUAGGUUUUGCCUUUACCCUGCUGCUUUCCCCUGGAAAACCAACUCAAAACCAACCAACUAAAUCAGAACAAAUAGCAUUCUGUAGAAAACCCAGUUGCUGUUUGUUCCAGUUCAGGAGGAUUGCUCUUAAUAGGUAGACUUCCCGUUGACCGCUUAAACUGAUCAUCAGCAUGAACAGAAAGACUGACCCUGCAGCUGACACAAAUGCCUCACUUGGAAAUGUUGUGGAGCUUUUAAAGAAGAUCCACCUCACUUGUAGUUAGUUAUACAAGCAACAGUCAUGUGGCUUCCCUUGCUUCAUUUUUUGCUCUUAUUCUGACUUUUAGGGUUGCUUGGAGGAAUAAUUGCAAAGGAAAAGAUCUCUCUGGGUGGACAAAAGGUUGCAAUCUCUGAGUUCCAUGGUCCUGAAUGAAUUCCAGCAUUUCUCUUGAGAUCCCCUUUGAUGAAACAUCUACCUACUGCCAUAUAAUCAAACUCCAGCUGCUUCUUUCUGGGCUAGCAUUUGCAUGUUGUGCCCCACCCCAUGGCCCUCUUUCUAGAUGAGGGAAAGUGAUUAUUAUUUUUAAGUGUGUCUGGGGUGGUGAGUCAUCUUGCUUUGGAUUGAGAGCUUCUCUGCUUGAAAAUCUUCAAUAAACUGAACAUAAACAAAA